ACUGUAAGUGACACAGUGUCAGUAUAGACUAUGGAUCCAUAUCAUUAUGUUCAUCUCAGCAUUUACCAAAGUGCCUUUUUAUUGCAGUGCCUCACUUAAUGAUCUGCUGUAGCAGUUAUGCAAAAACACUUUUAUUCAGAGACUU